rnacentral:rRNA from 1 species
AGUGAACGCUGGCGGUAGGCCUAACACAUGCAAGUCGAACGGCAGCACAGUAAGAGCUUGCUCUUACGGGUGGCGAGUGGCGGACGGGUGAGGAAUACAUCGGAAUCUACUUUUUCGUGGGGGAUAACGUAGGGAAACUUACGCUAAUACCGCAUACGACCUACGGGUGAAAGCAGGGGAUCUUCGGACCUUGCGCGAUUGAAUGAGCCGAUGUCGGAUUAGCUAGUUGGCGGGGUAAAGGCCCACCAAGGUGACGAUCCGUAGCUGGUCUGAGAGGAUGAUCAGCCACACUGGAACUGAGACACGGUCCAGACUCCUACGGGAGGCAGCAGUGGGGAAUAUUGGACAAUGGGCGCAAGCCUGGUCCAGCCAUACCGCGUGGGUGAAGAAGGCCUUCGGGUUGUAAAGCCCUUUUGUUGGGAAAGAAAAGCAGCAGGUUAAUACCCCGCUGUUCUGACGGUACCCAAAGAAUAAGCACCGGCUAACUUCGUG